UCCAUAUCCCUCCAUUCUCUGCAAAUCCGUGUGCCUGUCUAAUAGCCUUUUAAACACCACAACCAUAUCAGCCUCCACCACAGCCCCUGGCAGUUGGUUCCAGACACCCAACACCCUCUGUGUGGAGAAAGUUA